AUGCAUGAUCAGGUCGGCCUGGACCUGGACGGCUUCCCACUCGACUAUGAGUUUUCGGAGGACUACAUACAAGAGGAAGAGGAUGAGUUGGACAUCAAAGAGGAGCCUUUAUUCGAUGACGAGUUCGCCAACCAAGCAGCCGGGAGGAAGCCGAAGCGCAAGAGCAGGUGGACCAAGGCGUACACGGCGACCGAGGACAAGCUUCUUUGUGAAUGUUGGAGGGACAUUGGGUAAGACCCUAAGACCAGCGCCGAAUAAAAGGCAUCAACCUUUUGGACUCGUGCCCAUCGUGAGUUCCAUGAGCGCAAGAAGUUUUCACCGUACCAAAUGCAAAGCAUGCACGGAUGGGUGUCCAUUUUGAAGUGUUGGAAAGUGAUCCAACAAGAGUGUAACAAGUUUUAUGCCACUCUUGAGAGCAUCAAGGCACGCCCCGUGAGCGGAAUUGGCAUGCAAGACAUGGUAUGCUAGCAAGCGGCCCUCUUUUCUGUCAUUCCAUUUAUACUUGCAUGUCCAUUUCCAUAUCCAUUUGCCAAUAUGCUUGCAUGCAAUUCAUUUGUAGGCAUUUCAAGCUUUGGAGGCAUUCAAGGUCCAACAUGA
rnacentral:rRNA from 1 species